rnacentral:rRNA from 1 species
UACGGGGGGAGCAAGCGUUGUUCGGAUUUACUGGGCGUAAAGGGCGCGUAGGCGGUCAGCACAAGUCAGUUGUGAAAUCUCCGGGCUUAACUCGGAAAGGUCAACUGAUACUGUGCGACUAGAGUGCGGAAGGGGCAACUGGAAUUCUCGGUGUAGCGGUGAAAUGCGUAGAUAUCGAGAGGAACACCUGCGGCGAAGGCGGGUUGCUGGGCCGUAACUGACGCUGAGGAGCGAAAGCGUGGGGAGCGAACAGG